UGAGAAUCAUAAUGGCCGAAAAUCUAAGGUUUCCUGAGGAAGGUUCGUCCGCUCAAGGUAAGCCGGGAGCUAAGGCGAGGCCGAGAGGCGUAGUCGAUGCACAUACGGUAAAGAUUCCGUAGCCACCGAAGUCGUUAAAUACAGGGACACAGGAACAUAGCCUAACCCCACCGUUGGUUGAGUGGGGCGUAAGGGAGCGAAAAUUAGUAGCGAAGUAGGUGAUUGUACACUGGCGAGAAAAGCUGUAUGAAUUGACAAGGUGCCCGUACCGCAAACCGACACAGGUAGAUGAGGAGAGAAUCCUAAGACCAGCGGGAGAAGUGUUGUUAAGGAACUCGGCAAAAUGACCCCGUAACUUCGGGAUAAGGGGAGCCUACGCGAGUAGGCCGCAGAGAAUAGUCUCAAGCGACUGUUUAGCAAAAACACAGGUCUAUGCUAAAUCGAAAGAUGAUGUAUAUGGGCUGACGCCUGCCCGGUGCUGGAAGGUUAAGGGGAAGUGUUAGAGCAAUCGAAGCACUGAACUUAAGCCCCAGUAAACGGCGGCCGUAACUAUAACGGUCCUAAGGUAGCGAAAUUCCUUGUCAGGUAAGUUCUGACCCGCACGAAUGGCGUAACGACUUGAGAGCUGUCUCAACAACAUACCCGGCGAAAUUGAAGUACUGGUAAAGAUGCCAGUUACCCGUGAUAAGACGGAAAGACCCCAUGGAGCUUUACUGUAACUUGAUAUUGAAUUUUUGUAUUACAUGUACAGGAUAGGUGGGAGACAGAGAACUAAUGCCGCCAGGUGUUAGGGAGUCGAUGUUGGGAUACCACUCUUGUAAUAUGAAGGUUCUAACCUGCACCCGUGAAUCCGGGUGGGGGACACUGUCAGGUGGACAGUUUGACUGGGGCGGUCGCCUCCUAAAAGGUAACGGAGGCGUUCAAAGGUUGGUUCAGCACGGACGGAAAUCGUGCAACGAGUGCAAACGCAUAAACCAGCCUAACUGCGAGACCGACAAGUCGAGCAGUAACGAAAGUUGGAGUUAGUGAUCCGGCGGUAUGAGAGUGGAAUUGCCGUCGCUCAACGGAUAAAAGCUACCCUGGGGAUAACAGGCUGAUCUCCCCCAAGAGUCCACAUCGACGGGGAGGUUUGGCACCUCGAUGUCGGCUCAUCGCAUCCUGGAGCUGAAGUCGGUUCCAAGGGUUGGGCUGUUCGCCCAUUAAAGCGGUACGCGAGCUGGGUUCAGAACGUCGCGAGACAGUUCGGUCCCUAUCUAUCACGGGCGUAGGAAAUUUGAGGAGAGCUGACCUUAGUACGAGAGGACCGGGUUGGACGUACCGCUGGUGCACCUGUUGUUCUGCCAAGGGCAUAGCAGGGUAGCUAAGUACGGACGGGAUAAACGCUGAAGGCAUCUAAGCGUGAAGCCCCCUUCGAGAUAAGAUUUCCCAUAGCGUAGGCUAGUAAGGACCCAUGAAGACUACAUGGUUGAUAGGCCGGAGGUGGAAGUGCAGUAAUGUAUGUAGCUGACCGGUACUAAUAGUCCGAGGGCUUGACCA
rnacentral:rRNA from 1 species